CUCUCUCUCUCUCUCUCUCUCUUUCAACUCACUUACGGAGUGGUAGUAACAAAUUUCUCCUCGGUUCUCGCAUCUACGUAGUCGUGUCUCUGAGCUCGCUAAUUUUCCAUCUACUAACUCGCUACAUAUAUUUAUUAUAUGUAUUUAUAAUAUCCUUAGGUACUCGUUCGUAUACUUUCAGGAAACACCGUAAUGUCUAUGUAACGGUGCUGCCAGAAUAUUCGACGCGAGGCAAGUUAUUAAUAGUAUAACCAAAUUUACGUGUUUCGCAUUCUAGAUAUUAUAUCUGAAUGAAAAACGCAAUAUAUCGAAUUAUAAUCGAAGAAGAUGGAGAGAAAUCGAAGGACAGAAUGGAAGCAGAAUUCUUUGAAUUUUUCAAAUUCCUUUUCAAGUAAUACUAUUCGAAGAAGAAAAUUUACCUAUUCAUUGAGUAAAAUUAAUUUAGAUUCAAUUUUCACCCGGCUAACAUUAGUCUUCUCUCGCGCUGAACACGCAGUCAGCUAGAAGUUUACAAGUUUCGCGAUUGCGAGAAGUUAUGAUUAGUCACACGUUGGCUUACUGCUGUAUAAUUUCCUACGAACCCUCUCUUGAGGUGCUCGGAAAUGAAAGUGUCCGCGUUGGGAAUAUUUAAAGAUCAAGACCAGAAAAUCAACGCUGGUCCAUCCUUACAGAAGGAACGAGGCCUAGUUUCACAUUCGUAUAUCUCCGUCGAUAUUGUGUGCUAACAACGUAUCCAGCUGGCGAAAGAAAGGGAAGGGUUGCAGCCUUCCGACAAUGUAUCCGCUACAAUUACUGGAAUGAAAGUUUGUUUACGUAAUCACUCGCAGCCUGGAAUUCAGUUAAUCGACACUCUGUUUGUCUACGGUGGUCCAUCUAUAGGUGAAAGAAAAUGUUGGUACGCACCAGGAACGUUCAUUUCCAAGAACAGCCAUUUACGACGGUGGCUCGCGUUAAUUACGAUGGCAAUUAGCGGUGGGACCUUGCGUUAUCAGCAAGUUGGUGUUACACCUUGCUCACGGUACAAGUUUCAGAAUAACAGAAUGAUCAUCGAGGUAAUUGGUCAUCGAUCAAUCGUUCGAUCAACUUGU